GAGAGACCUGUGGUUCUGAGGAUUGAGGAGUCCGAAAUGGCAACUGAAGAUGAGAGCGAAUCUAAGCAAUGCUGCUUUCCCCCGACCUACCCUGCAAAAUGGAGGUGGAAGUGGAGAAUAAGGACAAGCAGCUGGCUGGGAGAGACUGGCUGCUGGAGAUCCAGCCAGCCCCCUGGCAAGGAGCUUCCAGCAGAACAUUUCCAUCAUCACAGCGGCUGGACAUUACAGCCUGAGCUCCUUCCCUCUGGCAUGAUGGCUAGCCAUUUGUAGAUCAAAUGAGUGAGUGAUCAGAGAUGGCUGAUCACUCACUCUGGAGUCCCAAGACAUCAGGGUGAGCAGAGCCUCCUGAUAACGGGUGAUGGACAUGUAGCAGAGGUGAGAAAUAAGCUUUUGUGGCUUUGAAGCCAAUACACUUUGGGAGUUACUCAUGCUUGUCUUUUUAAAUAAAAAAAUCAAAGCAUAAUCUGGACCUUCUAGCCUGUUCCACUUUAUAUUUACUCUAAUUACCAUUAGUAUUUAAGCAUUUAAAAAUUUGUUUUACUACCUAAUAAGGAAGUUUUCGACAACCCGUUGUUAGCCAUGCUUUCCUGUUUAUUCCACAAGGUG
rnacentral:lncRNA from 10 species